rnacentral:rRNA from 1 species
UACGUAGGCGGACUGGAAAGUAUGGGGUGAAAUCCCGGGGCUCAACCUCGGAACUGCCUCAUAAACUAUCAGUCUAGAGUUCGAGAGAGGUGAGUGGAAUUCCGAGUGUAGAGGUGAAAUUCGUAGAUAUUCGGAGGAACACCAGUGGCGAAGGCGGCUCACUGGCUCGAUACUGACGCUGAGGUACGAAAGUGUGGGGAGCAAACAGGAUUAGAUACCCUGGUAGUCC